AUUCAUGUCAUGCAUGGCCUUUCUUGGUGCCUUCAAGAACUCUCCCAAACCAAUUCUUGUUGUGUUAUUGACUACCCUUUUGUUAUUAUUAUUGAUCACCAAUGAUGAUGAAUUCAUGGAAAGCUUGUUGGUUGAGAUUUGCGGAGGAGGAGGAAGAGAGUGUUGGAGUUGGAAAGUAAUGUUUUUGAGGGAGAAAUUGAAAGUGGUUUUGAGGGAUAAAGUGAGAGUGAUUCCAAUGAGUAAGCCAAAGCCAAAGACAAGAACAUAGGAGAAGAAGUUUAGGAGAUAGAGU
rnacentral:lncRNA from 1 species